CCUACGGGUGGCAGCAGUGAGGAAUAUUGGUCACUGGGCGCGAGCCUGAACCAGCCAAGUAGCGUGAAGGAUGACUGCCCUACGGGUUGUAAACUUCUUUUAUAAAGGAAUAAAGUGAGGCACGUGUGCCUUUUUGUAUGUACUUUAUGAAUAAGGAUCGGCUAACUCCGUGCCAGCAGCCGCUGUAAUACGGAGGAUCCGAGCGUUAUCCGGAUUUAUUGGGUUUAAAGGGAGCGUAGAUGGUUUGUUAAGUCAGUUGUGAAAGUUUGCGGCUCAACCGUAAAAUUGCAAUUGAUACUGGAAGUCUUGAGUACAGUUGAGGUAGGCGGAAUUCGUGGUGGAGCGGUGAAAUGCUUAGAUAUCACGAAGAACUCCGAUUGAGAAGGCAGCUUACUAAACUGCCACUGACAUUGAUGCUCGAAAGUGUGGGUAUCAAACUGGAUUAGAUACCCGUGUAGUC
rnacentral:rRNA from 1 species